rnacentral:rRNA from 1 species
UACGGAGGGUGCGAGCGUUGUCCGGAAUCACUGGGCGUAAAGGGCGCGUAGGCGGCCUGGCAAGUCGGUGGUGAAAGCCCGAGGCUCAACUUCGGGUCGGCCACUGAUACUGCUGGGCUUGAGUCGACUAGAGGCAGAUGGAAUUCCGGGUGUAGCGGUGGAAUGCGUAGAGAUCCGGAAGAACACCGGUGGCGAAGGCGGUCUGCUGGGGUAGAACUGACGCUGAGGCGCGAAAGCGUGGGGAGCAAACAGG